GGCGGACGGGUGAGUAAUGCUUAGGAAUCUGCCUAUUAGUGGGGGACAACAUUCCGAAAGGAAUGCUAAUACCGCAUACGUCCUACGGGAGAAAGCAGGGGAUCUUCGGACCUUGCGCUAAUAGAUGAGCCUAAGUCGGAUUAGCUAGUUGGUGGGGUAAAGGCCUACCAAGGCGACGAUCUGUAGCGGGUCUGAGAGGAUGAUCCGCCACACUGGGACUGAGACACGGCCCAGACUCCUACGGGAGGCAGCAGUGGGGAAUAUUGGACAAUGGGCGGAAGCCUGAUCCAGCCAUGCCGCGUGUGUGAAGAAGGCCUUUUGGUUGUAAAGCACUUUAAGCGAGGAGGAGGCUACUCUAGUUAAUACCUAGAGAUAGUGGACGUUACUCGCAGAAUAAGCACCGGCUAACUCUGCGCCAGCAGCCGCGGUAAUACAGAGGGUGCGAGCGUUAAUCGGAUUUACUGGGCGUAAAGCGUGCGUAGGCGGCUGAUUAAGUCGGAUGUGAAAUCCCUGAGCUUAACUUAGGAAUUGCAUUCGAUACUGGUCAGCUAGAGUAUGGGAGAGGAUGGUAGAAUUCCAGGUGUAGCGGUGAAAUGCGUAGAGAUCUGGAGGAAUACCGAUGGCGAAGGCAGCCAUCUGGCCUAAUACUGACGCUGAGGUACGAAAGCACGGGGAGCAAACAGGAUUAGAUACCCUGGUAGUCCAUGCCGUAAACGAUGUCUACUAGCCGUUGGGGCCUUUGAGGCUUUAGUGGCGCAGCUAACGCGAUAAGUAGACCGCCUGGGGAGUACGGUCGCAAGACUAAAACUCAAAUGAAUUGACGGGGGCCCGCACAAG
rnacentral:rRNA from 1 species